GUGCUCACUUCGGCAGCACAUAUACUAAAAUUGGAAUGAUACAGAGAAGAUUAAAUUGUACCCCUAUAGUAGGAUUUCUUGGGUCUCUUGGGAAACUGACCAAAGCAGA
rnacentral:snRNA from 1 species